rnacentral:lncRNA from 1 species
AGAUAUAUGGUAUUGAGCGUUAUGAAAAUAGCUAAGCUAGGAUAUUGUGAUAGUGAAUUACUGGUAGCUACCUUAGAAUAGGUGGUUAGGAGAGACCUCUCUGAAGUGGUGACAAGAAGCUAAUAUCAGAGUGACCAGGAGGAUCCAACCAAACAGAGAAGCACACAACCUAGAGCUUUCUGAGCAAUAGGUAGUUUUGAGGACUGGAAGAGUUGGCUUGUCAUGUUCUAGGAACAGAAAAAAAAGCUGAACCUGCUGGAUGGUAGGAGGCAAAGAAGAGAAGAGAGUGAUAAGCUCAGAAAGGCAGGUGGAUCUAGUUCACGUUGGGCUUUAUUAGCCUAGGAAAAUUUGGAUUUCUUUCCAGUGUGAUGGGAAACCAUACUGCAGUAGGAGCUGCAUUUUAAAAUGAUGCCCAUUUUGAAAGAUCACUCAAGCUACUAUGCGGAGAAUGGAUCAUUGAAGGUGUUAGUCGAAGAUGGGUUUGGCUGCAUGUAAUAGAAAAACCAGUGCAAUAACUUAAAUAAGAUAGAAUUUUUUAUUAUUCUUUUUAUUUUUCUCACAUGACACAACAUCCAGAGGUAGGCAGUCUGAACUGCCAUAGCUAUGUUUGCGAUUUCUUUGGUGUUUUUCCUCAUGUUCAAUAUUAGUCCUGGGUAACAGACAGAAAAAGGGUGCCCAAAGGACAGAAGCCUUCUCUGCCAGCUAAACCAUGUCCUUUUAAAGCAGUUUAUUCAGAAAUCUCACCUAAAAAUGUUUGCUUACCAUGUAUGGAUCAAUACUGUGUAUGUGGCCAACACUAUAGCAAGAAAGACUAUUUCUGGGUGUUGACCUAGACUCAUUGCUGCCUUCAUAAAAAUUAUGGUCAGGUAUUCAUCUUUCUAAGCUUGUUGUAUUUCCUAUAAAGCAAUAAACAAAACAGAUAAAAUGUA